UCUAAGUAUGAAUUUUUGAUAUAAAACGGCAUUAGUUCUUAUGCCUCUCACCCAAAAAAUACCUCAAUUAAGCCCAAAUUUGAGACCGCAGCCAAACUUUGAGUGACGAUGGAAACUAGCCUAGAUGGAGGUCACAUGAAAUUGAACUUCUGCUUCUUCAUUGAUAAAGACUUAUCAUUUACCAUACCUUAUUAUUUUGUAUUCCAUUUUCAAGUCACUUUUUUUUCGCUUACUGUUUAAACAAAACGUGGGAUUUUUUUAAAUCUCAGGUCUUUUGAACGCACAUCUGAACGAUGUCUGGUUUUAAUUUCUUCAGUUACUCCGUGACCAUGGCGCUUGCAACAGUGCCGAAAUAUUGGAAACUCAAAACUAAGCACAACGAAAAUCUGCUUUGGCGCGUAGCAAUGCAACGUGACAACUACAGUUCGGACUUCUUUAUGCGUCCACUACACAUAAAAUAAAAUUCGAACUAUCGCACA